rnacentral:rRNA from 1 species
AGUGAACGCUGGCGGUAGGCCUAACACAUGCAAGUCGAACGGCAGCACAGUAAGAGCUUGCUCUUACGGGUGGCGAGUGGCGGACGGGUGAGGAAUACAUCGGAAUCUACUUUUUCGUGGGGGAUAACGUAGGGAAACUUACACUAAUACCGCAUACGACCUACGGGUGAAAGCAGGGGAUCUUCGGACCUUGCGCGAUUGAAUGAGCCGAUGUCGGAUUAGCUAGUUGGCGGGGUAAAGGCCCACCAAGGCGACGAUCCGUAGCUGGUCUGAGAGGAUGAUAAGCCACACUGGAACUGAGACACGGUCCAGACUCCUACGGGAGGCAGCAGUGGGGAAUAUUGGACAAUGGGCGCAAGCCUGAUACAGCCAUACCGCGUGGGUGAAGAAGGCCUUCGGGUUGUAAAGCCCUUUUGUUGGGAAAGAAAAGCAGCAGGUUAAUACCACGCUGUUCUGACGGUAACCAAAGAAUAAGCACCGGCUAACUUCGUG